CACCCCCUUGUUAACCACUUCCCUUGUGGAAGAGGCAAGACGGAUCUGGCCGUCUCUGUGCUCCUCGAGAGAACAGGGUCGGCUGAAGAACAGAGGCUUGAGCAUGGUCCCGCUGAAAGGGCGCCAGCUUGGUAGGUAGCUCACGCUGCAUGCCGCUGUCACCCCCAGGAACCUGUGCUGUAAAGCCGGCAGGAAUCGGUGGCUCACGCCCCGAACUCUUAC
rnacentral:misc_RNA from 1 species